rnacentral:rRNA from 1 species
CCUACGGGAGGCAGCAGUGGGGAAUAUUGGACAAUGGGGGCAACCCUGAUCCAGCCAUGCCGCGUGUGUGAAGAAGGCCCUCGGGUUGUAAAGCACUUUCAGUGAGGAAGAACGCCUGGUGGUUAAUACCCAUCAGGAAAGACAUCACUCACAGAAGAAGCACCGGCUAACUCCGUGCCAGCAGCCGCGGUAAUACGGAGGGUGCGAGCGUUAAUCGGAAUUACUGGGCGUAAAGCGCGCGUAGGUGGCUUGAUAAGCCGGUUGUGAAAGCCCCGGGCUCAACCUGGGAACGGCAUCCGGAACUGUCAAGCUAGAGUGCAGGAGAGGAAGGUAGAAUUCCCGGUGUAGCGGUGAAAUGCGUAGAGAUCGGGAGGAAUACCAGUGGCGAAGGCGGCCUUCUGGACUGACACUGACACUGAGGUGCGAAAGCGUGGGUAGCAAACAGGAUUAGAUACCCUGAUAGUC